CUAAGUGCGUCAAGCAACCAUUCGCGUGCCAAAGGGGGGAUCGCUCAGGUCGUUGACAAAUUCACCGCAGUGGUGUGAAUUAGAGCAGAAAAGCUGCGGUUUAAUUUUUGAAACUUAAAAAAACACUUAGUCGUGUGAGAUUUUAGGAUUUGUGCGGUCAACUCGUCAAAUGCACGCUUUUCGAGUGAUUUUUAGCACCUUUCUGCUGUGGAAGGCGCACGCUGAAAUAUGGCCAGUAGAUUCAAGAGAGUUUGCUGUCGGGCAAACUACCGACAGAUCUCACACAGAAACUUCAAAACCGACGGAUGAAGGUCAUGGGGUUUCACAUCGCGACGCAAACAUGAAAAAUGCACUUGGCUCAAAACUCCAAUGGCUGAACACACUCUCCACGAAAUUCGACGCGGAACAAGGACCGAUCUCGAAAGAGCGUGACGCUAUGGACGAACAGACGAAGCUGCUGCCGCGCGCCAUCAAAGACUGGAAGCAGAAGUUACGUUUGUCCUCCAAGUCUCCUUCAACAUCGAAAGGGAUCACCCCGGAGAUGCUGCAAAGGCGACCGUCCUGGAAGGACAAAGCUAAGAGUAUCGGAAGGAAAGCGUGGGGCGCUGCGCGUUCAUUGAGCGGAAGCUUGAGCGCAAGUUUCAGCGGACGGAGGUAUCGCGAGGACCCGAACUUCGAGGACGUCCCGGGCACCCCGGGACAAGGAAGCCCUCGUAGCAACAACAGCAGUCCUGGGAGGAGGAGAAGCUCUCAGUCACCAUCUCACGACCGUCGAGGAGCCGCCGCCGCCGGGAAUCAGAGGCGGUCCUCGUCCUGGCGCUAGAAGUAGGGAUGUAUUCGGACCGGGUUUAGCAGAAAGGAGCCAAGCCGCGUUAGGCAUCGCCAAAUAUAAUCGGGCAAUUUAGUUGUUUACAAUUGUGCGGAUUUUUGUGCAAAUUUCAGAGAAUUUUCUGCGUAGUUCGAAGCAAUUCAACAAAAUUCCUUUAUGGAAGUUGAUCUCGUGCAGCAGGAAGUGGACGUCCCGUCAUCUCCCGUUAUCUUCCGUAACCUCCAGUCACCUCCAGUCACCUCCAGUAACCUCCAGUCACCUCCAGUCACCUCCAGUCACCUCCAGUCACCUCUCUCAAGAAAGGUGCCAAGCCACAAUUUAACUGGACAGAUUAAUUUUUUACAGGAGGACAUUUGUGAGGAUCCUUUAGGCAACCCUGGCGGGAGUCGACCAAAUGCGACAGGAGGUGGAUGUCCUGUCAAUUCCCGUCACUUUCAGUAACUUCCCAUCACCUCCAGUCACAUCCAGUCACCUCCGGUCACCUCCAGUCACCUCCGGUCACCUCCAGUCAACUCCAGUCAACUCCAGUCAACUCCAGUCACCUUAAGUCACCUCCAGUCAUCUCCAGUCACCUCCAGUCACCGCCAGUCAUCUCCCGUCACCUCCCCGUCACCUCGCGAGAGCCUGUGCAGAGGGAAGCGAAACAAAGGCAUGCAUACAACAGCUCUAGAACCGAUGGCUAUGACGUAUAACGUAAUGUCGACAUAUUUUUCUCCAACCUGAUGAGUGCGUCACGCCCGUCUAAUGAAAUGUUGCAACGUUUGAGUACGCAUACGGUGUUUUUCUGUUGUACCAUAACGUGCGUAACAUCGAACUCCUCGAACAAAAAAGGGAAAAACAGGUAGACAUUUCCAUUAAAACCCACAAAAAAUUGACGCAUCAGAAUACGCACGAUUCAAUUUCAGAACUUUUUUCAAUAAUACAUUUUCUAUUUACUCACUCAAUCGCAUGGUUAUUGUUUUUCUGAAGCGUACCUCAUGGCUGCGUCCAAAUUUUGAGCAACUAUUUACUAUCAUAGAAAGGUUUUAACAAGUCUUUCAUAAAUAUAAUUUAGCAGUGUUUUCGAAGAAGAAUAUAAAAUUUGAGGAACAAUCUCUAAAAAGGGUCUUCAAGACAGAAGCCAAACCCUAAUUUUUUUCCAUGUAUUAUUUUUAUCAAGUUUUUAUCAUUCGAUGUGUGCUAUAACAUGAAAAAGUAGAAUUUGGAGCUUAGGAUCAUUUUUCUGAUAUGCUCGUUUGCUUAUUCAUAUCUUUAAAAUUUGGUGGAAAAAAAAAAAAAAAAACACUAAGAAGAAAAUUUGGUGGACUUACAUUUUGAAACCGUUUUUUGAUAAUUGUAUAAGUUGGCUUGUUCCAACUGCAUUUUUUUAUAUGUAUUAAGUAAUACGUGGCUGGCCAGGUUGGCCUGGUGGUUAGCUCGUUGGAGGAUUCGAAUCCCGGAUUUUUAAGGAAGCGGCGAGUGGAUCUGCCGAAACUCGGCCUUAAUCCAGGAAAACCUGGAGCAUAGAUGUGUGCUAACCCUAACCCGAUGCUCAUUCCAGGUUGCAGAAUCAUCAAAUGGUUUAAAAACUUCUAAUGACUAAAAAAAAGUACUACGUAAACUGAACUCAGCGGAGUGGUAACUGACGUACCUUGCAACAAGAAAGAAAAAUAAGAGGAGAGAUAAAAAAGGAAAAUUGCUUUUUUACUAGAUCACCUAGAACGGGUUUAUGAUAUUUUUGAUUUAAUUGACUUUUACAUCUCACUUGUAGGAUCUCCAAUUUUUAUUAGAAUCGGCAAGGACUGACUGACAUAAGAUUGCAAAAAAUGUUACGGUACUUAUACUGGAUCAAUAUUUUUCGAAUUUUACACAAUUAAGCGCGGUGUGCAUACACCGUGCUUAUUGGCCAGGUUGCGUAAACCUGCGGCUGAUGCAUGUAGCAUCACCCAUUGAAUCGUGGGUAAUUUUAAAGCCGUUCCUGUGGCGGGAAGGUAGUUGAAAUUAUGAAUCAUCAUAGCAAAUUAAUCGGAUCAUUUAAGCUGUUGGAUCACUUGAUUUAAUCGAUCCCGUAUCGAACUGAGUAGAAUUUUCAUUACUUGAUUAGUUGAAAUCUGUGAAUCAUUUCGCAAAUCCCUCUUUUGUUCAGACCAAACUGCUGUUUAAAAUAUUUCCAUAAAAUUACACGUGCAAGUAUGAAGAAACCGUCGUCUUCGGUUCGAUUACUUCUAAUUGGUCAAUACCUUGAUUUGAGCGUUUCUGAUUGGUCCAUCGUUUGCGGAAUGUUACUGUGCAUUUAUGAUGACUUGCUCCACGACAGCUUAUUCAAUCUCCUAUCAAUACUGUAGUCAAAUUUAAGUUGUAUCAUUUACUUCCUUGUAUAAAACUUAUUUUUAAUAAUGGUCAAUUGAACGUGGCGUAAAUCGAGUGUUUACAUCAUGUACCUAAUUUUAAUUGAAGUCAAGGUGUCAUUAAUCAUUUAAAACCCCUUAAUCGAAUAAUUUCGUGUUAGUGGCAGUUCUUGAUUAAAAAAUGUUGCUCUUGAGAAGCCGCGGCCGCCAUUAUCCCACCUCAAAUUUUAAAAAUGAAAAUAAAGAAAUAAUUACCAUCGCACAAGGUGGAAAAUUGCUCUGGAGAACUCGUUUCUGACAAAGGAGCCAAAAUCAGAACUCGAUUGAUUGAUUUAAUUCAUGAAUACGCAAAUAUUGGAUCAGCUCAAAUUCCGCGACAGCGAAUGCAUGCUGAGAUGAGCCUUGAGACACAUCAAAGCAUAGGCAAACAAUGUCUCACAGAGGAAGGCGCUUACUUCGUCCUGUCACUCAAGGACAUCUUUUGUGAAGCCCCGCUCAGCGUCCGAGAUCACUUAAGAGUUCUCUUUUCUCCCCUCUAACCACGUGUUCCGAGAUGGCUCAGUUGUCUACGGCACCACGUUGGCGAAAGAUUCUCCUCCUCUUCGUGCGAGCGGGGGUUCGAUUCUCGUAGGGGACGGUUAAUUUUUACUGGUUGUAUUGAAUGUUUCAGACCAAUCGUCAAACAAUAAUUAAUACUAGAUGAUAAAUGUACGAACAUUUUCUCGUGAGUUAAUAUGUCAGACAAAAAUACUGGAAUAUACCUCCUUCAUAUAAUUAGCCACAUGUUCACUCAAAUUAAUAACGUUAUUUUCUUUGUAAAUCCCCUAUCAAUACUGUAGUCAAAUUUAAGUUGUAUAAUUUACUUCCUUGUAUAAAACUCAUUUUUAAAUAAUGCUCAAUUGAAGGUGGCGUAAAUCGAGUGUUUACAUCAUAUACCUAAUUUUAAUUGAAGUCAAGGUGUCAUUAAUUAUUUAAAACCCCUUAAUCGAAUAAUUUCGUGUUAGUGGCAGUUCAGAUAAAGAACCAACUUGAUUAUGAAUCAUGCCGCGCUUAUCCAACACCUCGUGUUGGACUUUCCUGCUUGUUUAUAUAUUAACUCAAUUAUGCUGUUGGUUCAUUUAUGACACAUUUAUACAAGGCUGAUUGUGUAUUUUAUUCUUACGAAAAUAUUUUAUCUUAUGGUAAUCAAUUCAAAUUUUUACAAAAUGUAUCUAUUCGAUAAAAUCGUUAUAUUUUCUUGUGGCCUUGUCAUUUUAGGAUUGAUUCUUUCGCAGAAUGUUUUGUCUGUAAAGUGCCUCAAUGUUAAAUAAAAAUAAAACCAAUUGACUUUGGAAUUUUUUGUAGAAAAUCUCCUGUAAAUGUAGAACCUGACGAUUUUUUUUCUCAGAUCCAUGCCAGUGGGCCAAUGUAGAUAUGUUGGAUGGCCCUGAUUUCAAUCGACCUUAUUUUCGACAGGAAUAAAUUGUUGUAAAGCAGAUUCAAUCAGAGAAUUCUAACCUCAAGCAGUCUGUUGCAUGCAAGAUUUUGCACCUCGAAUUUUUUGGAUUCAAAAGCCGUGCCUCUUUUACAGUCUAAAAAAAUAAGUCUUGUGCGUCAAAAAAUAAUCAAAAUUUAGAGAAUUAGGGAGAUGUGUUUGAAAGUGCUAUAUCACGCAACUUUUCACCUCGUAAAAUUUUAUAGGAAGGCCUAAUGAUGCUCUCUUUGGAAUUCAUCAGUGGAAAGGAUGUUCUACUUUUUAAAGUGGGUGAAAAAAAUUCAUCUAAAAAUAGCCAAUAAAAUUAUACACAGCUCAAUGAGUGGUGAAUCAGUUUGACGUCAAAUAGAGGAAUAGGUGGAAAUUAG
rnacentral:lncRNA from 1 species